rnacentral:rRNA from 1 species
AUUGAACGCUGGCGGCAGGCCUAACACAUGCAAGUCGAACGAGUGGCGGACGGGUGAGUAAUGUCUGUGAAACUGCCUGAUGGGGGGGGAUAACUACUGGAAACGGUAGCUAAUACCGAAUACCAUCGUAUGUCCCCAGAUGGGAUUAGCUAGUGGGUGGGGUAAAGCCUCACCUAGGCGACGAUCCCUAGCUGGUCUGAGAGGAUGACCAGCAACACUGGAACUGAGACACGCUCCAGAAUCCUACGGGAGGCAGCAGUGGGGAACAUUGCACAAUGGGCGCAAGCCUGAUGCAGGCAUUCCGCGUGUAUGAAGAAGGCCUUCGGGUUGUAAAGUACUUUCAGCGGGGAGGCGUUACCCGCAGAAGAAGCACCGGCUAACUCCGUGCCAGCAGCCGCGGUAAUAC